rnacentral:lncRNA from 1 species
UCACACCCCAAUUCUUGAAACAAUAACUAUAACUGGGGUACGACUAAUCAUCGAAAUGAACAAGGGAAAAACCUUGUGAAAUCCGAAUAAAAGGGAUAACAAUCGGGCUUAGCCCCUUUGGAUGAAGAAAGACAGGUAUUCAAGUGAUACGAAUCAAUCAACAAACAUAAUAACUUCAGGAUCACAAGUUUAGUGUCAUGCUUCAGAUAACCAACAUUUAUAGAGUGAAAUACUUGCGAGUCAAUAGUCUAGGCUCAACAAAAGAUAUUGUUUAGAGUCACAACAUAAUAGGUCUUUAAUUAAGGAACAAAAGACAUAUACUGGCUAGUUCUGCAGCGGAAAUCAAAAUUAGGGGUUGAACUCUAGCCUCAGCUCUGCCCCGUCAUCACCAGCCAUUAACCUGAAAAUAUUUGAAAAUAUUUUUGGGCUAAGUACUAAUGUACUUAGUGGGCUGCAACUUUUAAAGCAUUUCAUAAUCUGAAGAACAGUUUAUCCAAUCUUACUGACAUGACAUAGAAGGUUUUUAAAGAGAAAUAACUUCUAUGCAUGUUAAAACAUUUCAUAUAUAUAUACUUAAUUAUUUUGCGCGCGUUUGCAACGCUGUCUUUGGGAUGUCUUCUCUUUUCAUCUUGAGUUGAUGGUAACCAGAUCUUAGAUCAAUCUUGGAAAACACACCGGCUCCUUUCAACUGAUCAAACAGGUCGUCUAUCCUUGGAAGAGGAUAUCUAUUCUUUAUCGUGCUUGUUCAAUCCCUAGGAUUACGUCAAAUUCUAUCAUAGUGACAACAUACAAACGACUUUAAACGUUUCAGCACCUAUGUUCAGCUCUAAGUUCGAGAUAAUGUCCUUAGCAGCCAAUCUUCCACCACCAGGGGUGCUAACCUCUAAAGUUGUCCCAGCCAAUUGUGGGGUCAGUUCUAAUCUCUUACAAACAGCAUGUGAAAUGAAAGAGUGGGUUGCCCCAGUAUCGAACAAAGCUAUAAUCGGCACGUCGAAAACAUUAAUCAUACCUGCCAAGUUUCCUUGGUUUUCCGCUGCUUGGUUUUGGUUAAGGGCAUAGGCCCUAGCAUUCUGUGGCUGUCCCCGUUGUCCUCCAGGACCCUGAUUUUGUCGCUGCUGAUUCCCGGGGUUUUUCUGUUGAGGCGCCCCUCCGUUCUUCUUCGGACAUGCUGAAGCAUAAUGCCCAGUUUCCCCGCAACUAUAUCAGAUAUUCAUUCCUUUCAGGCAUUCCCCUGAAUGAGGUCGCUGACACUUUGGGCAAAGUGGUCGCCCCAUUGCUUGCGGCUGUUGGUUCUGACGCUGAUUCUGAUUUUGGUUAGCAACCCAUGGUUUCUUCCCAUUUCCAUUUCCAGGGUUUCCACCAAUUCCCUCGUUCCACUUUCUUUUCCCUUUACCACCAUCUUGAGGUGGUACAAAUUCAGACUGUCCCGGAGCUUUUCCUUUCUCCCUUGGUAGCAAUGACUCAAUGGUGAGAGCCCUGCUCAAAGUUUGUGCAUAAGUGAGACCUUCCUGGCUUGCUAGGGAGAUUGAUAUCUCGUGGCGCAGUCCAUUCCUGAAUUUUUCGGCGCGUUUCUCAUCAGUGUCCACUAAGAGUGGAGCAUAUCUUGACAGCUGAUUAAAGGCCCUAUCAUACUCAAUCACUGUCCCAGCCCUCUGCUUCAAAUUCCAGAACUCGUUCUGUUUCUUCUGUCUAUAGCAGCCUGGUAUGUACUUCUCAUACAACUCAGUCUUAAAAUCUUCCCAUGUGAAAUUUUCCCACUGUUCCUCAGUCAUUGUGCGCCUCACCGAUUCCCACCAGAAGUCUUAUUGGAAACCUUCAAAACAUUUAAUAACUUUUAAACUUUUAAUUCGUACCUCUAGACUUCUAAGAAAGUUGUUGAANAAGUUAUUAAAUGUUUUGAAGGUUUCCAAUAAGACUUCUGGUGGGAAUCGGUGAGGCGCACAAUGACUGAGGAACAGUGGGAAAAUUUCACAUGGGAAGAUUUUAAGACUGAGUUGUAUGAGAAGUACAUACCAGGCUGCUAUAGACAAAAGAAACAGAACGAGUUCUGGAAUUUGAAGCAGAGGGCUGGGACAGUGACUGAGUAUGACAGGGCCUUUAAUCAGCUGUCAAGAUAUGCUCCACUCUUAGUGGACACUGAUGAGAAACGCGCCGAAAAAUUCAGGAAUGGACUGCGCCACGAGAUAUCAAUCUUCCUAGCAAGCCAGGGAGGUCUCACUUAUGCACAAACUUUGAGCAGGGCUCUCACCAUUGAGUCAUUGCUACCAAGGGAGAAAGUAAAAGCUCCGGGACAGUCUGAAUUUGUACCACCUCAAGAUGGUGGUAAAGGGAAAAGAAAGUGGAACGAGGGAAUUGGUUGAAACCCUGGAAAUGGAAAUGGGAAGAAACCAUGGGUUGCUAACCAAAAUCAGAAUCAGCGUCAGAACCAACAGCCGCAAGCAAUGGAGCGACCACUUUGCCCAAAGUGUCAGCGACCUCAUUCAGGGGAAUGCCUGAAAGGAAUGAAUAUCUGCUAUAGUUGCGGGGAAACUGGGCAUUAUGCUUCAGCAUGUCCGAAGAAGAACGGAGGGGCGCCUCAACAGCAAAACCCCGGGAAUCAGCAGCGACAAAAUCAGGGUCCUGGAGGACAACGGGGACAACCACAGAAUGCUAGGGCCUAUGCCCUUAACCAAAACCAAGCAGCGGAAAACCAAGGAAACUUGGCAGGUAUGAUUAAUGUUUUCGACGUGCCGAUUAUAGCUUUGUUCGAUACUGGGGCAACCCACUCUUUCAUUUCACAUGCUGUUUGUAAGAGAUUAGAACUGACCCCACAAUUGGCUGGGACAACUUUAGAGGUUAGCACCCCUGGUGGUGGAAGAUUGGCUGCUAAGGACAUUAUCUCGAACUUAGAGUUGAACAUAGGUGCUGAAACGUUUAAAGUACGUUUGUAUGUUGUCACUAUGAUAGAAUUUGACGUAAGUCCUAGGGAUUGAACAAGCACGAUAAAGAAUAGAUAUCCUCUUCCAAGGAUAGACGACCUGUUUGAUCAGUUGAAAGGAGCCGGUGUGUUUUCCAAGAUUGAUCUAAGAUCUGGUUACCAUCAACUCAAGAUGAAAAGAGAAGACAUCCCAAAGACAGCGUUGCAAACGCGCGCAAAAUAAUAAGUAUAUAUAUAUGAAAUGUUUUAACAUGCAUAGAAGUUAUUUCUCGUUAAAAACCUUCUAUGUCAUGUCAGUAAGAUUGGAUAAACUGUUCUUCAGAUUAUGAAAUGCUUUAAAAGUUGCAGCCCACUAAGUACAUUAGUACUUAGCCCAAAAAUAUUUUCAAAUAUUUUCAGGUUAAUGGCUGGUGAUGACGGGGCAGAGCUGAGGCUAGAGUUCAACCCCUAAUUUUUGAUUUCGCUGCAGAACUAGCCAGUAUAUGUCUUUUGUUUCUUAAUUAAAGACCUAUUAUGUUGUGACUCUAAACAAUAUCUUUUGUUGAGCCUAGACUAUUGACUCGCAAGUAUUUCACUCUAUAAAUGUUGGUUAUCUGAAGCAUGACACUAAACUUGUGAUCCUGAAGUUAUUAUGUUUGUUGAUUGAUUCGUAUCACUUGAAUUCCUGUCUUUCUUCAUCCAAAGGGGCUAAGCCCAAUUGUUAUCCCUUUUAUUCGGAUUUCACAAGGUUUUUCCCUUGUUCAUUUCGAUGAUUAGUCGUACCCCAGUUAUAGUUAUUGUUUCAAGAAUUGGGGUGUGACAUAGAUAAAACAAGAUAGAUAAAUAGUUAUGUCUUAUCUAAGCGUUUGAUAGUAAUAUUGAUUAACAAGAAGGUCCGCAUUAAGUAAGAGGCCCGUUCUUAUAUCAAUUCCACUGAGAAAUUUAAUAUCUUUCAUUUAAGUCUAAUGUGAAACAUAUCAUACUUUUUUUCAUUUAGAUUUAGUUUGUUGGUGAAAAGGUAAGUAUAUGUACAUUUUUUCCUUUAAAAAAAGUUUACAUGAUUGUUAAUUAUAAUUAUUUUAAAUUGUACUCCCUCCGUCCCAUUACAAAUGUCCAAUUACUUUUUGCAUAAAGAUUAUGGACUAUGUAAUUAAUUAGUAGAUAAAGUAGAUUGAUGAAAAUAAUUUAAGUAUUAUUUUAAAAGUGGGUAAAUUGCCCCUAAAUACACAAAGUUUCAUCAAAUUCUAGAAUAGGUGGUCUUCUGUACAUACCGUACACCCGGAUAUAAAUAACAUUAACAUCUAUAUAUAGUAUAAAAGAUGAGUUUGUUUACCUCCAAUUUUUCUCUCUCCUCACAAACUUUCCCUCCAAAUUUUCUAUCUUUUUUUUAAUUCUUUUUAAAAAUUAUUAAUUUCUAUUAUAAAAAUAAUGUUCAAAAUGGAUGUUAAAUUAAAGAUUGUGAAAAGAUCUUUAAUUUGAUAUAAAAAUUAUAAAAAUUAAAUUUGAGAUUAUUAAGUUAUGAUCGAUUAAAAUAUUAAAAUUAAUUUUUGUUCGCUCUCAUUUAUCUAUAAUGUUGAAUAUCGUACUCUAUUUUCAUUGUAUUUUCGUUUAUUGGCGACAAACAUAAGCAUAUGUCAUUUUUUUCCUUAUAAAAAAGUUUACAUGAUUUUUAAUUAUAAUUGUUUAAACUACAGUCAUUUUUAAUGCAAUUAAGGGAGGAUGAAAUUUGUAUUAAUUUUAAUAUGAAUUUGUAAAUAAAAUAUUAUAAUAUUAAAUGACGACUGUUAAUUUAGUUAUAUUGAUGUUUUAGUGUAAUCGUAGCCCGUGUAUCCGUGCGAUGCACGGGAGAGCGUACUAGUUAAUACUAAAUGACACUAACACUAACACUAUUUUUAACACUAAUACUUAAUGAUACUAUCACUAUAUCAAAAUGACAUUAAUAUCCCGGGUGUACCGUACACCCGAGUGUACAGGAGAUUUUGUGAUUUUGGAAUUGCACAUCACCUAUUAAGCUCUAUAAUACAUCACAUUUCAUUAUUUUCUGAUUUGUCCCACGAUAACUAAAAUCUCCAAUCGUAAAAGUGACAUGGCGACCGGAAUAGCCACGUAGACACGUCGGACUAUUGAUCCAAACACACGUUUGGAAUCACACCAAAGUAAAAAUGAGGAAGGAUUAUUGAUCCUUCAAAACAAGCACAAACAAAACAAUUCAACACAAACACAAGCAAAAGAAUUCAGAUUAAUCGGAAAAAAGAAAAAAGAGUUUCAAAUGCUCAAACACUAACAUAACAGUUGAAGAAGCAGCUAAGUAGGUAAGACUUUCCCCUCCAACCAAAUUCUUUUAUUUAUAUAUCAGUUAAUCGAAUUAAAUUGUUUUAAUAAUCGAACCAAAUAUACACCCCAUACCGAGAACCACAAUGACCGCAACGGAAUAUUGAGCUGGUCAAUGCAAUUCAGUAUUCGACUAAUCAAAAAAUAAAAGAAUAAAAAUUUAGAAUUUCAAAUGCUCAAAUGGUCAAACACAAAUUGAAGUUGGGGAUUCGAAUCACCAGCGAAGAGAUAGUGGGGAAGGAUUAUUGAUCCUUCAAAAUAAACCUAAGCAAACAGAAAAAUUCAGCUCGAUCAAGUUGUAGAGUAGCUUAAGAAAUCGCGCAAUCACACUGUCAUUGACAUAUUCUUCUUCUUAAUUAUCUUAUGAUAUUUUCAAUUGAUACAACUAAUUCUACUUCCAUUUUGACAAUAGCAAAUAAGCAAGGUUUUUAAAUUUGUAUUCGACAAGAAGAAGAAUACACGUAUUGGAUACGGUAAACCAGAUUUAAGAUAACAUACACGGCUGCUGGCGACGGAAGGAGAUGGUGGCGCCGAGCGACAAGCAAAGAAGGAGAAACAGCUGGGGGCGGCGUGGUGGAAUCCGGCAGUGUUUACUGUAAAUAGCGGCAAAAAAAUAUUGAGUUUCAAAUGCUCAAACACAAACAUACAGUUGAAAUUAUGAUUCUUCUUCUUACUCGUCUCGAUCUACUUUCCGAAUCCAUCCUCUCUUUUCCUUAGCUUUUGCUUUCGUUUUUUGUCUUGAUAUAGGAUUCCAAAAGUCUUCUGUUACAAUGGAAAAUAUAAAAAGACUUGGUGGCUUAUCUUUCAAUUAUUAUAAAUUCAUUAUUCACCGCAGCGUGCACGUUAA